rnacentral:tRNA from 1 species
GGGGGUGUAGCUCAGUUGGGAGAGCGUGUCGUUCGCAUCGACAAGGUCAGGGGUUCGAAUCCCCUCACCUCCA